rnacentral:lncRNA from 1 species
CUUAGAAAUCCUUGAGGUCCUGGGAAGGGGCCUAAUACCCUGCACCUUUAGGGAAACCCUGCCUGUGACGAGCUGUACAAGGCCUGGCUCAGCGGCUGGCGGGACAGCAACUGGAGACUUAGGAAGAAAAACAACUUCUAAACGUGGUGUUCGUGCAAGAAAGUAUCAGAAAGCGGAAAAUCUCUGAUCCACGCCAUCUGUUUGUCUCAUCCAGUGCUGCAUUCCAAUCUCUGCAACAGAAGAUUCAUGACAACCUGCCAAUAAAAUUCCUGAGAUUGUCAAAACACAGAAUACUUGUGAAAAAGUUUAAGAUAAGAUUCUUUCAUGUUUAAAUUCCUCAUACACACCCUUUCUCUCAGAGCACAGCUGGCUUCAGUACCAGAUUUCAGGUAAAACUGGAAAAUACCACACAGAGAGAGCUUUCAAUGAUUUAUUCCAUAAACAGGCAGUUUGCCG